rnacentral:rRNA from 1 species
AACGAACGCUGGCGGCAGGCUUAACACGUGCAAGUCGAACGCCCCGCAAGGGGAGUGGCAGACGGGUGAGUAACGCGUGGGAACAUACCCUUUCCUGCGGAAUAGCUCUGGGAAACUGGAGUUAAUACCGCAUACGGCCUACGGGGGCAAGAUUUAUCGGGGAAGGAAUGGCCCGCGUUGGAUUAGCGAGUUGGUGGGGUAAAGGCCUACCAAGGCGACGAUCCAUAGCUGGUCUGAGAGGAUGAUCAGCCACAUUGGGACUGAGACACGGCCCAAACUCCUACGGGAGGCAGCCGUGGGGAAUAUUGGACAGUGGGCGCAAGCCUGAACCAGCCAUGCCGCGUGAGUGAUGAAGGCGUUAGGGUUGUAAAGCUCUUUCACCGAUGAAGAUAAUGACGGUAGUCGGAGAAGAAGCCCCGGCUAACUUCGUGCCAGCCGCCGCGGUAA